CUAGAGUUUGAUCCUGGCUCAGAUUGAACGCUGGCGGCAUGCCUUACACAUGCAAGUCGAACGGCAGCACGGGAGCAAUCCUGGUGGCGAGUGGCGAACGGGUGAGUAAUACAUCGGAACGUGCCCAGUAGUGGGGGAUAACCCGGCGAAAGCCGGACUAAUACCGCGUACGACCUACGGGUGAAAGCAGGGGAUCGCAAGACCUUGCGCUAUCGGAGCGGCCGAUGUCAGAUUAGCUAGUUGGUGGGGUAAAAGCCUACCAAGGCGACGAUCUGUAGCUGGUCUGAGAGGACGACCAGCCACACUGGGACUGAGACACGGCCCAGACUCCUACGGGAGGCAGCAGUGGGGAAUUUUGGACAAUGGGCGCAAGCCUGAUCCAGCCAUGCCGCGUGCGGGAAGAAGGCCUUCGGGUUGUAAACCGCUUUUGUCAGGGAAGAAACGCUCCGGGUUAAUACCUCGGAGUAAUGACGGUACCUGAAGAAUAAGCACCGGCUAACUACGUGCCAGCAGCCGCGGUACGCC
rnacentral:rRNA from 1 species